GUGUGUAGUACAUCAACGCAAAAUUGUUUGUAAUUAUAAGUUGCAUUGUAAUUAGUGCAGAAUUGCAUAUGCAGUACUUAUGUACAUACAUAAAUACAUGCAUAUGUUCCGAAAAAUACCGAUAAAUUGGACAUUAGUCUUCCCUGAUUUUAAAAUUUGGGUUGGAUAGUUUUACUUUCAUAUAUACUGACAAUGGCAGUAAUAUCAAAAUAUGUUGAUCGCAUAGCGGAGAAAUGUGAACAAUCUGGAUUGUCAAUACAAGCAUUUAGUUAUGCCCUAGUGGGCUCAGCAUUAUGUGCAUUAACCAUUAAGUUAACAGCCCCAUACAUGAAAAACACACAAAGUUCCAACAAAUAUAAAAUUAACAAAGGGCCACACACGCCGUUACCCAUUGAUGGCUCUGAUGAUGAUAUGAAGUUGGCUGAGGCUGAGAAGCUGUUGGUUCAACAGGAAUUAAAAAAAACAAAUUUGCAAAUGGUUGAGCCGGGCUUAAACAAGGAGUUCCUAAAGCAACUCAGUGCGCUUGUUCAGAUAAUGAUUCCGCAAAAGCUAUGCUACGAAACCGGACUGCUAACUAUUCAUACAUUGUGUCUCAUCUCACGCACGUUCCUCAGCAUUUAUGUGGCUGCAUUGGAGGGUGCGAUUGUUAAGUUCAUUGUUCGCAAGGAAAUUAAACAGUUUGCCCUUGUAUUGCUUAAAUGGUUUGGUAUCGCGAUUCCAGCAACAUUCGUCAAUUCCAUGAUACGAUUUCUGGAAAGCAAACUGGCUUUAGCAUUCCGGACUCGUUUGGUGCGGCAUUCAUAUCGAUUGUAUUUCAAAAACCAAAAUUACUACAGGGUGUCAAAUUUGGAUGGACGCAUCGAAAAUGCCGAUCAUAGACUUACCGAAGAUAUUUCUGUUUUUGCAAGCUCUGUAGCUCAUUUAUACAGUAGUUUAACUAAGCCAUGCUUCGAUCUAAUGUUAAUUGGUUUGGCAUUAAUGAGAUCUUCUAGACAAAUGAAAGCAAACAUUUUAUCAGGACCUGCUCUGUCGAUAACAGUUAUUGCACUUACGGCACAUAUAUUACGGAUUGUCUCUCCGAAAUUUGGACAACUCGUCUCGGAGGAGGCAAAUCGCUACGGUUACCUUAGACAUAUACAUUCCCGUAUUAUAACAAACGCAGAAGAAAUUGCCUUUUAUGGUGGACACAAGGUGGAGCUUCAGCAGUUGCGACAGGCAUACAAUCGCUUAGUUACCCAAAUGAAUAACAUAUUUACUCAGAAGCUGUGGUUCGUUAUGCUCGAACAAUUCUUUAUGAAAUAUCUGUGGUCUGGCACUGGCAUGGUGAUGGUCUCUCUGCCAAUACUAACUGGUUCUGCAACUCCUUCUUCUUCUUCCUCCACAUCAACGACAACAUCGCCAAGUGAAGCGAAUGCUUCACAUAUCAGCGAGCGAACACAAUAUCUAACAACGUCUAGAAAUUUACUUAUUUCGGCAGCGGACGCUAUAGAACGAUUAAUGUCAUCAUAUAAAGAAGUUGUUGCAUUGGCCGGAUACACCUUUCGGGUUGCAGGAAUGUUGGAUGUGUUUACAGAAACAUCACAAGGCAUUUAUAGCAAAGCAAUAGUUGCUGAGCAUAAUCGGGAUACAAGUGGAAUCAUUGAGUAUAGAAACGGCAAACCGAUAGCCAAGGGUCGUAUUAUCUAUACUGAUAACAAUGUGAUGUCGAUUAAUUUGUGUGCAGUACCGGUUGUGACACCCAAUUGUGAUAUCGUUGUUCCAAGCUUGACAUUGUGUUUUGAACCUGGUGUUCAUGUAUUGAUAACAGGACCAAAUGGAUGUGGAAAAUCAAGUUUGUUUCGUAUUUUAAGCGGAUUAUGGCCAAUCUAUGCUGGUGAAUUGCAUAUUCCGCGCCCAUUUGAAAACAAACCCUGCAUGUUUUACAUUCCCCAACGACCAUAUAUGUCCAUUGGCAGUUUAUGUGAUCAAAUCAUAUAUCCAGAUACUAGAGAUGAUAUGAAGCGCAAAGGAAUCACUGAGAAUGAAUUAAGAAGCAUAUUAAAAAUGGUCAGCCUAGAGCAUAUUGCGCAACGUGACAACUUUGAAGUUAUACGAGAUUGGAAGGAUAUUCUAUCGGGAGGUGAAAAACAAAGAAUGGCGGUAGCGCGACUUUUCUAUCACAAUAAAUUUUGCUUGGAGCAGACCCCAGUAUGCACUUCUUGAUGAAUGUACAAGUGCAGUAUCAAUUGACGUUGAGAGCUCUAUAUAUGAAAAAGCAAAAAACAUGGGUAUUACACUGCUGACGAUAACACAUAGACCCACCCUCUGGAAAUUUCACACUCAUAUUCUUGAGUUUGACGGUCAAGGAAGUUGGAAGUUUAGGAAAAUGGAAACAAAUGAAGAACAGAAAGAUCAAUUCAUUUGUUAAGCUUCAUGAUGUAUUAGAAAGAGCAUAUUGUAAAUAAAGUCAUACAUUUAAUGAUGUAUUCACGACGAUUUUAAAAUAAAUAUCUGCAAGCUUGCUUUGCAAAUUAUUGUUUUUUAUAAUAA